rnacentral:tRNA from 1 species
GGAAAGGUGGCAGAGCGGUUUAAUGCGGCGGUCUUGAAAACCGUUGUGGGUCUUUAGGCUCACCGUGAGUUCGAAUCUUACCCUUUCCG